UACGUAGGGGGCAAGCGUUAUCCGGAUUUACUGGGUGUAAAGGGAGCGUAGACGGCAGCGCAAGUCUGGAGUGAAAUGCCGGGGCCCAACCCCGGAACUGCUCUGGAAACUGUGAAGCUGGAGUGCAGGAGAGGUAAGCGGAAUUCCUGGUGUAGCGGUGAAAUGCGUAGAUAUUAGGAGGAACACCAGUGGCGAAGGCGGCCGCCUGGCCUGUUACUGACGCUGAGGCACGAAAGCGUGGGGAGCAAAUAGG
rnacentral:rRNA from 1 species